rnacentral:rRNA from 1 species
GAUGAACGCUAGCUACAGGCUUAACACAUGCAAGUCGAGGGACCGUCGCACGGGUGAGUUACACGUAUCCAACCUGCCCUUUACUCGGGGAUAGCCUUUCGAAAGAGAGAUUAAUACCCGAUAUAAAGGCUGGGUAUGCGUUCCAUUAGGUUGUUGGUGAGGUAACGGCUCACCAAGCCUUCGAUGGAUAGGGGUGCUGAGAGGCAGGUCCCCCAGAAGUGAACGGAGACAAGGUCCAAACUCCUACGGGAGGCAGCAGUAUGGAAUAUUAGGCAAUGGACGCGAGCCUGAACCAGCCAAGUAGCGUGAAGGAUGAAGGCUUAGUGGUCGUAAACUUCUUGUAUAUAAGAAUAUGUAUUAUAUGAAUAAGGAUCGGCUAACGCCGUGCCAGCAGCCGCGGUAAUUC